GACGAACGCUGGCGGCGUGCUUAACACAUGCAAGUCGAACGGAAAGGCCCUGCUUUUGUGGGGUGCUCGAGUGGCGAACGGGUGAGUAACACGUGAGUAACCUGCCCUUGACUUUGGGAUAACUUCAGGAAACUGGGGCUAAUACCGGAUAGGAGCUCCUGCUGCAUGGUGGGGGUUGGAAAGUUUCGGCGGUUGGGGAUGGACUCGCGGCUUAUCAGCUUGUUGGUGGGGUAGUGGCUUACCAAGGCUUUGACGGGUAGCCGGCCUGAGAGGGUGACCGGCCACAUUGGGACUGAGAUACGGCCCAGACUCCUACGGGAGGCAGCAGUGGGGAAUAUUGCACAAUGGGCGGAAGCCUGAUGCAGCAACGCCACGUGCGGGAUGACGGCCUUCGGGUUGUAAACCGCUUUCGCCUGUGACGAGGCGUGAGUGACGGUAAUGGGUAAAGAAGCACCGGCUAACUACGUG
rnacentral:rRNA from 1 species